GUCGAGCGGCGGACGGGUGAGUAAUGCCUAGGAAAUUGCCUUGAUGUGGGGGAUAACCAUUGGAAACGAUGGCUAAUACCGCAUGAUGCCUACGGGCCAAAGAGGGGGACCUUCGGGCCUCUCGCGUCAAGAUAUGCCUAGGUGGGAUUAGCUAGUUGGUGAGGUAAUGGCUCACCAAGGCGACGAUCCCUAGCUGGUCUGAGAGGAUGAUCAGCCACACUGGAACUGAGACACGGUCCAGACUCCUACGGGAGGCAGCAGUGGGGAAUAUUGCACAAUGGGCGAAAGCCUGAUGCAGCCAUGCCGCGUGUAUGAAGAAGGCCUUCGGGUUGUAAAGUACUUUCAGUUGUGAGGAAGGGUGUGUAGUUAAUAGCUGCGCAUCU
rnacentral:rRNA from 1 species